UACGUAGGGGGCAAGCGUUGUCCGGAAUUAUUGGGCGUAAAGAGCUCGUAGGCGGUUUGUUGCGUCGGCUGUGAAAUCCCGAGGCUCAACCUCGGGUCUGCAGCCGAUACGAGCAAACUAGAGUGUUGCAGGGGAGACUGGAAUUCCUGGUGUAGCGGUGAAAUGCGCAGAUAUCAGGAGGAACACCGGUGGCGAAGGCGGGUCUCUGGGCCGUAACUG
rnacentral:rRNA from 1 species